rnacentral:rRNA from 1 species
GAUGAACGCUAGCGGGAGGCCUAACACAUGCAAGCCGAGCGGUAUUGUUUCUUCGGAAAUGAGAGAGCGGCGUACGGGUGCGGAACACGUGUGCAACCUGCCUUUAUCUGGGGGAUAGCCUUUCGAAAGGAAGAUUAAUACUCCAUAAUAUAUUGAUUGGCAUCAAUUAAUAUUGAAAGCUCCGGCGGAUAGAGAUGGGCACGCGCAAGAUUAGCUAGUUGGUGAGGUAACGGCUCACCAAGGCGAUGAUCUUUAGGGGGCCUGAGAGGGUGAUCCCCCACACUGGUACUGAGACACGGACCAGACUCCUACGGGAGGCAGCAGUGAGGAAUAUUGGUCAAUGGGUGCAAGCCUGAACCAGCCAUCCCGCGUGAAGGACGACUGCCCUAUGGGUUGUAAACUUCUUUUGUAUAGGGAUAAACCUACCCUCGUGAGGGUAGCUGAAGGUACUAUACGAAUAAGCACCGGCUAACUCCGUGCCAGCCGCCGCCGUAA